GACGAACGCUGGCGGCGUGCUUAACACAUGCAAGUCGAACGGAAAGGCCCUGCUUUUGUGGGGUGCUCGAGUGGCGAACGGGUGAGUAACACGUGAGUAACCUGCCCUUGACUUUGGGAUAACUCCAGGAAACUGGGGCUAAUACCGGAUAGGAGCUCCUGCUGCAUGGUGGGGGUUGGAAAGUUUCGGCGGUUGGGGCUGGACUCGCGGCUUAUCAGCUUGUUGGUGGGGUAGUGGCUUACAAAGGGUUUGACGGGUAGCCGGCCUGAGAGGGUGACCGGCCACAUUGGGACUGAGAGACGGCCCAGACUCCUACGGGAGGCAGCAGUGGGGAAUAUUACACAAUGGGCGGAAGCCUGAUGCAGCAACGCCGCGUGCGUGAUGACGGCCUUCGGGUUGUAAACCGCUUUCGCCUGUGACGAAGCGUGAGUGACGGUAAUGGGUAAAGAAGCACCGGCUAACUACGUG
rnacentral:rRNA from 1 species